GGGGGCGUACUGGUUUCGACGGGGAUUUAAAAAGCAAAGAUAGCCAUCCGCGGUGCCGCCCGCGUCAACAAGGCAAACCUUUUUAAUUAAACGGCAAUAACAGAUUAGCGCUCGCUGCCUAGCCUAAAGGCAGCUGUCGGCCCGGGCUGCCCCAUCGGCCCGGAAUCCGGCAUCGAUAGAUGGGCAACUUUCGCCGCCGCCGCCCUGCGGUAGCGAAAAGACCUCAAGGGCUACCCGCCGCGGCGCUUGUCGGCUUCUGCCGCCGCGGGAAAACCCCUGAAGCCGAAUGUGAUGGGAGAAGUCUUUGCCAACGGGUUUUCGGACAGGAGUUCAACUCUCCUCGCCUCCAGAC
rnacentral:tmRNA from 1 species